GACGAACGCUGGCGGCGUGCCUAAUACAUGCAAGUAGAACGCUGAAGGAGGAGCUUGCUCUUCUGGAUGAGUUGCGAACGGGUGAGUAACGCGUAGGUAACCUGCCUGGUAGCGGGGGAUAACUAUUGGAAACGAUAGCUAAUACCGCAUAAGAGUAGAUGUUGCAUGACAUUUACUUAAAAGGUGCAAUUGCAUCACUACCAGAUGGACCUGCGUUGUAUUAGCUAGUUGGUGGGGUAACGGCUUACCAAGGCGACGAUACAUAGCCGACCUGAGAGGGUGAUCGGCCACACUGGGACCGGGACACGGCCCAGACUCCUACGGGAGGCAGCAGUAGGGAAUCUUCGGCAAUGGACGGAAGGCUGAACGAGCCACGCCGCGGGAGUGAAGAAGGGUCUCGGAUCGUAAAGCUCUGUUGUAAGAGAAGAACGAGUGUGAGAGUGGAAAGUUCACACUGUGACGGUAUCUUACCAGAAAGGGACGGCUAACUACGUG
rnacentral:rRNA from 1 species